rnacentral:rRNA from 1 species
AGCUCCAAUAGCGUAUAUUAAAGUUGUUGCGGUUAAAAAGCUCGUAGUUGGAUUUCUGUUGAGAACAGGCGGUCCGCACUACGUGCGUGUAUCUGUUUUGGUCUCGGCAUCCUCUCGAAAUACGUUGCUGUGCUUGAUUGCAUGGCGCGGAGUUCGGGACUUUUACUUUGAGGAAAUUAGAGUGUUCACGGCAGGCCUUCGCCUUGAAUAUAUUAGCAUGGAAUAAUAAUAUAGGAUCUGAUGCCUAUUUUGUUGGUUUCUAGGUGUUAGAUAAUGAUUAAUAGGGACAAUUGGGGGGAUUCGUAUUAUGGCGUCAGAGGUGGAAUUCUUGGAUUGCCAUACGACGAACUACUGCGAAAGCAUUUCUCAAGGAUGUUUUCA